UGAGCGGGUGCGGAUGACGUGACACCUCGAACCUGGUCAGGAUCGGGAGAUAGCAGCCAUAAGGGGUCACUUGCGGGCAUCCGUUCCCACUCAAUGC
rnacentral:SRP_RNA from 1 species